rnacentral:lncRNA from 1 species
CACCCCGGGUGUCAGUCACUGCAGACAUCACUGCAGACACAGAGAUGGCCAUUAGAGCUCACCACCCCGGGUGUCAGUCACUGCAGACAUCACUGCAGACACAGAGACGGCCAUUAGAGCUCACCACCCCGGGUGUUAGUCACUGCAGACAUCACUGCAGACACAGAGACGGCCAUUAGAGCUCACCACCCCGGGCGUUAGUCACUGCAGACAUCACUGCAGACAUCACUGCAGACACAGAGACGGCCAUUAGAGCUCACCACCCCAAGUGUUAGUCACUGCAGACAUCACUGCAGACACAGAGACGGCCAUUAGAGCUCACCACCCCAGGCGUUAGUCACUGCAGACAUCACUGCAGACAGAGAAGGCCAUUAGAGCUCACCACCCCAGGUGUUAGUCACUGCAGACAUCACUGCAGACAUCACUGCAGACACAGAGACGGCCAUUAGAGCUCACCACCCCGAGCGUUAGUCACUGCAGACAUCACUGCAGACACAGAGACGGCCAUUAGAGCUCACCACCCCAGGUGUUAGUCACUGCAGACAUCACUGCAGACACAGAGACGGCCAUUAGAGCUCACCACCCCAGGCGUUAGUCACUGCAGACAUCACUGCAGACACAGAGACGGCCAUUAGAGCUCACCACCCCAAGUGUUAGUCACUGCAGACAUCACUGCAGACACAGAGACGGCCA